rnacentral:lncRNA from 1 species
CUCCCCAUCCAUCGGCACUCCACCAUAGAAUGGAACCGGCCGCACUAGAGGCUAACGCCGCUGAGAUUUUCAUAGAUGAACAUCUGCCAUCGGGAACCCUCUAGUCUGUUGAUCAACAACCUCGACCUCAACGGUCAGGAGAGAUCAAGCCGGACACAAGCCCGGGCAAACCCCAACUGUCUUUGCUUCACCGUGUAGUCGUCCACCACAGUCAGCUCGUUGGCCA